GAUGAACGCUGGCGGCGUGCCUAAUACAUGCAAGUCGAGCGAACGGACGAGAAGCUUGCUUCUCUGAUGUUAGCGGCGGACGGGUGAGUAACACGUGGAUAACCUACCUAUAAGACUGGGAUAACUUCGGGAAACCGUAGCUAAUACCGGAUAAUAUUUUGAACCGCAUGGUUCAAAAGUGAAAGACGGUCUUGCUGUCACUUAUAGAUGGAUCCGCGCUGCAUUAGCUAGUUGGUAAGGUAACGGCUUACCAAGGCAACGAUGCAUAGCCGACCUGAGAGGGUGAUCGGCCACACUGGAACUGAGACACGGUCCAGACUCCUACGGGAGGCAGCAGUAGGGAAUCUUCCGCAAUGGGCGAAAGCCUGACGGAGCAACGCCGCGUGAGUGAUGAAGGUCUUCGGAUCGUAAAACUCUGUUAUUAGGGAAGAACAUAUGUGUAAGUAACUGUGCACAUCUUGACGGUACCUAAUCAGAAAGCCACGGCUAACUACGUGCCAGCAGCCGCGGUAAUACGUAGGUGGCAAGCGUUAUCCGGAAUUAUUGGGCGUAAAGCGCGCGUAGGCGGUUUUUUAAGUCUGAUGUGAAAGCCCACGGCUCAACCGUGGAGGGUCAUUGGAAACUGGAAAACUUGAGUGCAGAAGAGGAAAGUGGAAUUCCAUGUGUAGCGGUGAAAUGCGCAGAGAUAUGGAGGAACACCAGUGGCGAAGGCGACUUUCUGGUCUGUAACUGACGCUGAUGUGCGAAAGCGUGGGGAUCAAACAGGAUUAGAUACCCUGGUAGUCCACGCCGUAAACGAUGAGUGCUAAGUGUUAGGGGGUUUCCGCCCCUUAGUGCUGCAGCUAACGCAUUAAGCACUCCGCCUGGGGAGUACGACCGCAAGGUUGAAACUCAAAGGAAUUGACGGGGACCCGCACAAGCGGUGGAGCAUGUGGUUUAAUUCGAAGCAACGCGAAGAACCUUACCAAAUCUUGACAUCCUUUGACAACUCUAGAGAUAGAGCCUUCCCCUUCGGGGGACAAAGUGACAGGUGGUGCAUGGUUGUCGUCAGCUCGUGUCGUGAGAUGUUGGGUUAAGUCCCGCAACGAGCGCAACCCUUAAGCUUAGUUGCCAUCAUUAAGUUGGGCACUCUAAGUUGACUGCCGGUGACAAACCGGAGGAAGGUGGGGAUGACGUCAAAUCAUCAUGCCCCUUAUGAUUUGGGCUACACACGUGCUACAAUGGACAAUACAAAGGGCAGCGAAACCGCGAGGUCAAGCAAAUCCCAUAAAGUUGUUCUCAGUUCGGAUUGUAGUCUGCAACUCGACUACAUGAAGCUGGAAUCGCUAGUAAUCGUAGAUCAGCAUGCUACGGUGAAUACGCUCCCGGGUCU
rnacentral:rRNA from 1 species